rnacentral:rRNA from 1 species
GACGAACGCUGGCGGCGUGCUUAACACAUGCAAGUCGAACGGAAAGGCCCUGCUUUUGUGGGGUGCUCGAGUGGCGAACGGGUGAGUAACACGUGAGUAACCUGCCCUUGCCUUUGGGAUAACUUCAGGAACCUGGGGUUAUUCCCGGAUAGGACCCCCUCCUCCAUGGUGGGGGUGGGAAAGUUUCGGCGGUUGGGGUUGGACUCGCGGCUUAUCAGCUUGUUGGUGGGGUAGUGGCUUACCAAGGCUUUGACGGGUAGCCGGCCUGAGAGGGUGACCGGCCACAUUGGGACUGAGAUACGGCCCAGACUCCUACGGGAGGCAGCAGUGGGGAAUAUUGCACAAUGGGCGGAAGCCUGAUGCAGCAACGCCGCGUGCGGGAUGACGGCCUUCGGGUUGUAAACCGCUUUCGCCUGUGACGAAGCGUGAGUGACGGUAAUGGGUAAAGAAGCACCGGCUAACUACGUG